CGUAGGUGAACCUGCGGAAGGAUCAUUACAGAAGUUCAUGCCCGAAAGGGGUAGACCUCCCACCCUUGUGUAUUAUUACUUUGUUGCUUUGGCGAGCUGCCUUCGGGCCUUGUAUGCUCGCCAGAGAAAACCAAAACUCUUUUUAUUAAUGUCGUCUGAGUACUAUAUAAUAGUUAAAACUUUCAACAACGGAUCUCUUGGUUCUGGCAUCGAUGAAGAACGCAGCGAAAUGCGAUAAGUAAUGUGAAUUGCAGAAUUCAGUGAAUCAUCGAAUCUUUGAACGCACAUUGCGCCCCUUGGUAUUCCGGGGGGCAUGCCUGUUCGAGCGUCAUUUCAACCCUCAAGCUUAGCUUGGUAUUGAGUCUAUGUCAGUAAUGGCAGGCUCUAAAAUCAGUGGCGGCGCCGCUGGGUCCUGAACGUAGUAAUAUCUCUCGUUACAGGUUCUCGGUGUGCUUCUGCCAAAACCCAAAUUUUUCUAUGGUUGACCUCGGAUCAGGUAGGGAUACCCGCUGAACUUAAGCAUAUCA
rnacentral:rRNA from 1 species